rnacentral:rRNA from 1 species
GACGAACGCUGGCGGCGUGCUUAACACAUGCAAGUCGAACGCUGAAGCUCAGCUUUUGUUGGGUGGAUGAGUGGCGAACGGGUGAGUAACACGUGAGUAACCUGCCCCCUUCUUUGGGAUAACGCCCGGAAACGGGUGCUAAUACUGGAUAUUCACUGGUCUUCGCAUGGGGGUUGGUGGAAAGGGUUUUUCUGGUGGGGGAUGGGCUCGCGGCCUAUCAGCUUGUUGGUGGGGUGAUGGCCUACCAAGGCUUUGACGGGUAGCCGGCCUGAGAGGGUGACCGGUCACAUUGGGACUGAGAUACGGCCGAGACUCCUACGGGAGGCAGCAGUGGGGAAUAUUGCGCAAUGGGCGCAAGCCUGAUGCAGCGGCGCCGCGUGAGGGAUGGAGGCCUUCGGGUUGUGAACCUCUUUCGCUCAUGGUCAAGCCGCAACAAUGGUUGUGGUGAGGGUAGUGGGUAAAGAAGCGCCGGCUAACUACGUG